UACGUAGGCAGCAAGCGUUGUUCGGAAUUACUGGGCGUAAAGGGCGUGCAGGCGGUUUGUUAAGUGCAGGGUGAAAGCUCCCGGCUCAACUGGGAGAGGUCCUUGCAUACUGGCGAACUCGAGGGAGGCAGAGGAAAGUGGAAUUCCCGGUGUAGUGGUGAUAUGCGUAGAUAUCUGUAGGAACACCCGUGGCGAAGGCGGCUCGCUGGACCGUUACUGACGCUGAGGAACGAAAGCUAGGGUAGCAAACAGG
rnacentral:rRNA from 1 species